rfam:Oryza glumipatula chromosome 1, whole genome shotgun sequence.
UAUAAGUGUGGCCAUGAGUUUCCGUGCUCAAUUUUGACUGCCCGUCUUAUUUAAAAAAAAUUUAGAUUAGUAUUUUUAUCAUUAUUAGAUGACAAAACAUGAAUAGUAAUUUAUGCGUGACUUAUGUUUUUAAUUUUUUUAAAAAAAAUUUCAAAUAAGAUAGACGAUCAAAGUUGGGCACAGAAAAUCAUGGCUGCACUUAAA